rnacentral:rRNA from 1 species
GAUUUCUGACGAAACUGCUAGCUGGCCCGCCACGUCAGUGUGUGAGUGCCGGCUUGGCGUUUGUCAUCCGUUCGAAUGAUGUGCGCGCUGCCCUUCAUUGGGUGUGUGCUGCAUGUUUUCGAUCUUUUACUUUGAAAAAAUUAGAGUGUUUCAAGCAGGCAUUUUUGCUAUGAAUACAUUAGCAUGGAAUAAUAAUUUAGGACUUCGGUUCUAUUUUGUUGGUUUCUAGGACUGAAGUAAUGAUUGAUAGGGAUAGUUGGGGGUGCUAGUAUUCAGCGGCCAGAGGUGAAAUUCUCGGAUUCGCUGAAGACUAACUUAUGCGAAAGCAUU